rnacentral:rRNA from 1 species
GACGAACGCUGGCGGCGUGCUUAACACAUGCAAGUCGAACGGAAAGGCCCUGCUUGCAGGGUACUCGAGUGGCGAACGGGUGAGUAACACGUGGGUGAUCUGCCCUGCACUUCGGGAUAAGCCUGGGAAACUGGGUCUAAUACCGGAUAGGAGCCAUUUUCAGUGUGAUGGUUGGAAAGUUUUUUCGGUGUAGGAUGAGCUCGCGGCCUAUCAGCUUGUUGGUGGGGUAAUGGCCUACCAAGGCGGCGACGGGUAGCCGGCCUGAGAGGGUGGACGGCCACAUUGGGACUGAGAUACGGCCCAGACUCCUACGGGAGGCAGCAGUGGGGAAUAUUGCACAAUGGGCGCAAGCCUGAUGCAGCGACGCCGCGUGGGGGAUGACGGCCUUCGGGUUGUAAACUCCUUUCGCUAGGGACGAAGCUUUUUGUGACGGUACCUAGAGAAGAAGCACCGGCUAACUACGUG